rnacentral:rRNA from 1 species
GACGAACGCUGGCGGCGUGCUUAACACAUGCAAGUCGAACGGAAAGGCCCUGCUUUUGUGGGGUGCUCGAGUGGCGAACGGGUGAGUAACACGUGAGUAACCUGCCCUUGACUUUGGGAUAACUUCAGGAAACUGGGGCUAAUACCGGAUAGGAGCUCCUGCUGCAUGGUGGGGGUUGGAAAGUUUCGGCGGUUGGGGAUGGACGGGCGGCUUAUCAGCUUGUUGGUGGGGUAGUGGCUUACCAAGGCUUUGACGGGUAGCCGGCCUGAGAGGGUGACCGGCCACAUUGGGACUGAGAUACGGCCCAGACGAGUACGGGAGGCAGCAGUGGGGAAUAUUGCACAGUGGGCGGAAGCCUGAGGCAGCAACGUCGCGUGCGGGAUGACGGCCAUCGUGUUGGAAACCGCUUUCGCCUGUGACGAAGCGGGAGUGACGGUAAUGGGUAAAGAAGCACCGGCUAACUACGUG